rnacentral:rRNA from 1 species
AUAUGCUCAGGAUGAACGCUGGCGGCGUGCCUAACACAUGCAAGUCGAACGGAGUUCUUGAGGAAUGCGGCUUCGGUCAAAUGACUUUUGAACUUAGUGGCGGACGGGUGAGUAACGCGUGAGCAACCUGCCUUUCAGAGGGGGAUAACAUUUGGAAACAGAUGCUAAUACCGCAUAAGAUUACAGUACCGCAUGAUACAGUGAUCAAAGGAGCAAUCCGCUGAAAGAUGGG